rnacentral:rRNA from 1 species
AACGAACGCUGGCGGCAGGCCUAACACAUGCAAGUCGAGCGAGAUCUUCGGGUCUAGCGGUGGACGGGUGAGUAACGCGUGGGAAUAUGCCUCUUGGUACGGAAUAGCCUCGGGAAACUGGGAGUAAUACCGUAUGUGCCCUUUGGGGGAAAGAUUUAUCGCCAAGAGAUUAGCCCGCGUUGGAUUAGGUAGUUGGUGGGGUAAUGGCCUACCAAGCCGACGAUCCAUAGCUGGUUUGAGAGGAUGAUCAGCCACACUGGGACUGAGACACGGCCCAGACUCCUACGGGAGGCAGCAGUGGGGAAUCUUAGACAAUGGGGGCAACCCUGAUCUAGCCAUGCCGCGUGAGUGAUGAAGGCCUUAGGGUUGUAAAGCUCUUUCAGCUGGGAAGAUAAUGACGGUACCAGCAGAAGAAGCCCCGGCUAACUCCGUG